rnacentral:rRNA from 1 species
CCCGCCGUCCUAUCAUGCAAGUCGAGCGGAUCGAUGGGAGCUUGCUCCCUGAGAUCAGCGGCGGACGGGUGAGUAACACGUGGGUAACCUGCCUGUAAGACUGGGAUAACUCCGGGAAACCGGGGCUAAUACCGGAUAAUUUAGUUCCUCGCAUGAGGAACUGUUGAAAGGUGGCUUUUCGCUACCACUUACAGAUGGACCCGCGGCGCAUUAGCUAGUUGGUGAGGUAACGGCUCACCAAGGCAACGAUGCGUAGCCGACCUGAGAGGGUGAUCGGCCACACUGGGACUGAAACACGGCCCAAACUCCUACGGGAGGCAGCAGUAGGGAAUCUUCCGCAAUGGACGAAAGUCUGACGGAGCAACGCCGCGUGAGUGAAGAAGGUUUUCGGAUCGUAAAACUCUGUUGUUAGGGAAGAACAAGUGCCGUUCGAAUAGGGCGGCACCUUGACGGUACCUAACCAGAAAGCCACGGCUAACUACGUGCCAGCAGCCGCGGUAAUACGUAGGUGGCAAGCGUUGUCCGGAAUUAUUGGGCGUAAAGCGCGCGCAGGUGGUUUCUUAAGUCUGAUGUGAAAGCCCACGGCUCAACCGUGGAGGGUCAUUGGAAACUGGGGAACUUGAGUGCAGAAGAGGAAAGUGGAAUUCCAAGUGUAGCGGUGAAAUGCGUAGAUAUUUGGAGGAACACCAGUGGCGAAGGCGACUUUCUGGUCUGUAACUGACACUGAGGCGCGAAAGCGUGGGGAGCAAACAGGAUUAGAUACCCUGGUAGUCCACGCCGUAAACGAUGAGUGCUAAGUGUUAGAGGGUUUCCGCCCUUUAGUGCUGCAGCUAACGCAUUAAGCACUCCGCCUGGGGAGUACGGUCGCAAGACUGAAACUCAAGGAAUUUGACGGGGGCCCGCACAAGCGGUGAGCAUGUGUUUAUUCGAGCACGCGAGACCUUACAGGUCUUGACAUCCUCUGACACCCUAGAGAUAGGGCUUUCCCUUUCGGGGG